GCUUAACACCCACGUCCGCCGCGGGCCGGCCCUCCGCCCCGCCCACCCGCGGGGGAGCGCAAAGGGCGGCGGCCCCCGGGGCCCGGAGCUCCCCUGCGGCUGGGGGCUGGCAGCGCGGGGCCGGCGCGGGGAAGCGGAAGUCCGCGGCUUAGGCGGCGCACUCGGCCCCGCGCAGGUCACGGGACCCCCGGCCCGCGCGCCCGCGAGCUGGAGGACCUGGAGGACAGGGAGCCCGGACCCCCGGAGUUGCUGCCCUUCGUCCCGGUUCCCGGAGGACUCCGGAGAGGCUCGACCCCAGCUGGAACUCAGGGCGGGGGUUGGUGGUGCUGGGAGGACCCGCUGAAGUCUUCUGGACAAGAAAUCGUGUAACUUUGCAAAAGAAAAAUUUUAACCAUUCCAUUGAUCUUUGAAAGACUGCAAUCUUACUUAACAUAAAGAUACAGCAAGAGACGGAACACAGUCGGGAGUACUGGGAGAGGGAGAAGCAGGCUUCACACCAAGCAAGGAGCCCGAUGAAGGGCUGGAUCCCAGGACACUCAGAUCAGGACCUGAAGGCAGACACCCAACAACUGAGUCACCCAGGCGCCCCAGUAUUGGUUUUAUAUAAACUUUAAAAUGUCAAAAGUUGAAGGUAAUGGAUACUUGUUGAAGCACAAUAGUAACUCAGAACAACACAUUAAAGUAAUAUAUUAAAGUAUAAAUUAAGCACAAUACUAACUCAGAACAUAUUAAGUUAAAUAUGUAUUUUAUAUAUAUAUUUAUGUAAUGGGUAAAGGAGAGGGGUGGGGAAAAAAAGAGUGGCGGUUAUAGUUCACUGGAUUUUUAGAUGCCAAUUUAUUUCAGAAACUAUAUAUAUUGCAAGCCAAUAUUAAAGUAGCUAAAUCUCUCCACAUAUCAUGAUAGAUCCAUCGGAUGGAAUAGUACUCAGCUCAUGCUAUUCACAUGAAGGAAACAAUGAAAAGUUGGAUUAAAAAACAAAGGGAUGCUCUGUAAUACUCCUUUUAUACAACUUCUGGAACACGACUGGAAUUAAUAAAGCAUUCCGCGCUGCCCACACCAUCUCAGCUUCACUCCGCCAAACUGGAAUUGCAUGCUUGGUGAACAAGCUUCGUGGUGGCAGAACGUCGGGGUUUAACGCCAGUAUCGGUGCAGUGGGAGUACUUUAAAUGACGAAUCAAAGAAAAAAUGGAGGCAGGAAUGAGACCGUUAUAGUCUCGGGAAGUUAAAAAAAAAAAAAAAAAAAAAAGGAGUGGGUGAGACAACUUUGCUUCUGGAGCCCGGACUGAAUGGGGGGAGGCGUGGCGGAGCGCUCGGGACAGGAGCCAACCUUGUACCCCGAGCUCUGUUUCUCACCCCGUUAUGACCUUGGGCAAGUCAUGUUAGCUUUCUGGGAUUUCCCGUUCCUCAGCUUUAAAGCAACGGCCUCUGAGAUCCCGCGGGCGGGAACAUCCACCCCAGGAAGCGGAGAAGGACCACUGAACGCCCCGGAGGUCGCCUUGACACCCGCAGGGCCAACAGCGCCCCAAUGCGGUACC